GAUGAAGAACGUAGCGAAACGCGAUAAGUAAUGUGAAUUGCAGAAUCCAGUGAAUCAUCGAAUCUUUGAACGCACAUUGCGCCCGCCAGCAUUCUGGCGGGCAUGCCUGUUCGAGCGUCAUUUCAACCCUCGACCUCCCCUUGGGGAGGUCGGCGUUGGGGACCGGCAGCACACCGCCGGCCCUGAAAUGGAGUGGCGGCCCGUCCGCGGCGACCUCUGCGCAGUAAUACAGCUCGCACCGGGACCCCGACGCGGCCACGCCGUAAAACACCCAACUUCUGAACGUUGACUUCGAAUCAGGUAGGACUACCCGCUGAACUUAAGCAUAUCAAUAAGCGGAGGA
rnacentral:misc_RNA from 1 species